AAGCGAAAACAGACGAUAUAAAUACACACUGAACAAAUCGGUUGGAUUAAUGACAAUUUAUUCACAAAUCUAUAUGCGUACUUACGCGUACGUAUACGUUUCACUGUUGCACUUCCAUUUAUUUGCAAAUAGGCCAAUGAUUUCGAUUGCAGCACUUGCUAUUGUUUGAAGUAUAUUGUUUCAAAUACAAGUUUCUUGUCGUUGAGUGAGUAUGAUAACAAUAAAAGCAGCAAUACAAAGAGUAAAUGGAUUGAGCUGUUUCUGUCAUCGAUUGUUGAUUAAUCUAUCAAAAAAUUGAUUAAAAAAUUGCUGUUUUUACUCAUAUAUGUGUAUACGUAAACACAUAUACGUUAUUUGCUGGUUGGUUUUUUGUUCAACCUUUAACUGAAAGUUGAUGUUUAUUCAAGACCUGUAAUCAAGAAGAACAAAAGAAAACAUCAUCUAAUCUUGAGUGUUUUGGAGUACUUAAACUUGGCAUAUUAUCUAUCUAUGGCGGCACAUUAUCUAUUUUAUCGAUUUUUUCGUACAAAAUUUGAUUGACCCAUACAAUAAUGAGAAAAACGUCUUU